rnacentral:misc_RNA from 1 species
GAUGAAGAACGUAGCGAAAUGCGAUAAGUAAUGUGAAUUGCAGAAUUCAGUGAAUCAUCGAAUCUUUGAACGCACCUUGCGCCCUUUGGCCAUUCCGAAGGGCAUGCCUGUUUGAGUAUCAUGAACACCUCAACUCUUCAUGGUUUUCCGUGAUGAGCUUGGACUUUGGGGGUCUUGCUGGCCUAUGGUCAGCUCCUCUAAAAUAAAUCAGCUUGCCAGUGUUUGGUGGGUAUCACAGGUGUGAUAACUAUCUACGCUUGUGGUUUUCCACCAGGUAACCUUCAGCAGUGGAGGUUCGCUGGAGCUCACAGAUGUGUCUCUCCUCAGUGAGGACAGCUCUUUGAAUGUUUGAUCUCAAAUCAGGUAGGACUAUCCGCUGAACUUAAGCAUAUCAAUAAGCGGAGGA